rnacentral:rRNA from 1 species
CUGUAUGGAAUUAGUAUAACUAAGGUUAUUAACCGAAAAGUUUAGAUUUAGUGUUAAGUUAUUUAGAAAUAAUACGCGAGUAGCGUAGUUAAACUUAACAUUGGGUGUGAUAAAUGAGUCGUUAAACUUUAUAACUGUUAGAAAAACACGCUUAUAAUAAACCUUUAGGGUGAAGAGAUCCUGUAGGAGAAUAUAACCUUCUUAACCUUACCAUUUAGCUAGGGUUAAAAUUACCCUUGUGUUGUGAGUAUGUUAAAAUUGCUAAUUUUGGGUUAUUUGGGUUUAUAGUAAGUGUUUUUCUAAAUGUAACUUUGUGUAAUUAAGUAUCAUUCAAUAAGUAAUUUUAUUAACUUUUUUGUUUCUCAUUUACAACCCGUCUGUUUAUUAAAAACAUUUCCAUAUUAUUAUUUUAUAUGGUAGUACCUGCUCUAUGUGUUAUAAAUGGCCGCAGUAUCUUGACUGUGCGAAGGUAGCAUAAUUAAUUGCCCCUUAAAUGGGGGCUUGUUUGAAUGGUUUGACGUGGUUGUCUUUAACAUAAGAGUUUUUAUUGAAAUUAAUGUUGUGAAUUCAGAAUUUACAUUAGUUAAUUAGACGGAAAGACCCUAGGAUCUUUACAAAUUUUGCUUGGGGCAAGUGAGAAUUAUUUAUUUGCUUUAAGACCCUUAUAAAAGUUUAUAGGUUUAAGUUACCCUAGGGAUAACAGAGUAAUAGUUUAUUAGAGUUCUUAUCGAUUAAACUGUUUGCUACCUCGAUGUUGACUUGGGUUAAUGCUCUGGCGCAGUAGUUAGAGGUUUGGGUCUGUUCGACCCUAAGUACCCCCAUGAGUUGAGUUAAGACCGGCGUAA